AUACAUGCAGUCGAGCGGACCUUUUAAAGCUUGCUUUUGAAAGGUCAGCGGCGGACGGGUGAGUAACACGUGGGCAACCUGCCUGUAAGACUGGGAUAACUUCGGGAAACCGGAGCUAAUACCGGAUAAUAUAAGGAACCUCCUGGUUCUUUAUUGAAAGAUGGUUUCGGCUAUCACUUACAGAUGGGCCCGCGGCGCAUUAGCUAGUUGGUGAGGUAAUGGCUCACCAAGGCGACGAUGCGUAGCCGACCUGAGAGGGUGAUCGGCCACACUGGGACUGAGACACGGCCCAGACUCCUACGGGAGGCAGCAGUAGGGAAUCUUCCACAAUGGACGAAAGUCUGAUGGAGCAACGCCGCGUGAGCGAUGAAGGCCUUCGGGUCGUAAAGCUCUGUUGUUAGGGAAGAACAAGUGCGAGAGUAACUGCUCGCACCUUGACGGUACCUAACCAGAAAGCCACGGCUAACUACGUGCCAGCAGCCGCGGUAAUACGUAGGUGGCAAGCGUUGUCCGGAAUUAUUGGGCGUAAAGCGCGCGCAGGUGGUCCUUUAAGUCUGAUGUGAAAGCCCACGGCUCAACCGUGGAGGGUCAUUGGAAA
rnacentral:rRNA from 1 species